rnacentral:rRNA from 1 species
UACGUAGGGGCGCAAGCGUUUAUCCGGAAUUAUUGGGCGUAAAGAGCUCGUAGGCGGUUUGUCGCGUCUGCCGUGAAAGUCCGGGGCUCAACUCCGGAUCUGCGGUGGGUACGGGCAGACUAGAGUGAUGUAGGGGGAGACUGGAAUUCCUGGUGUAGCGGUGAAAUGCGCAGAUAUCAGGAGGAACACCGAUGGCGAAGGCAGGUCUCUGGGCAUUAACUGACGCUGAGGAGCGAAAGCAUGGGGAGCGA